AUAAGGCAGGCGAGAAACCUGCCCACCGAAAGACUAAGGUUUCCUGAUCAACGCUAAUCGGAUCAGGGUUAGUCGGGUCCUAAGGGUAAGCCGCGUGGCGAUCCUAAUGGACAACUGGUUAAUAUUCCAGUACCACCGUUUACCGCGACGGGGCGACGGAGGAGUGAAAGAUCCGCGUACUGACGGAAUAGUACGUUAAAGGGUGUAGUUAUACCUUUUGGUUAACAGCUAAUAGGUGAUGAACCUGAUAGUACCAUGAGCCUUCGGGCGAGUGGAUAGUGAUCCUAAUCAUACUUCCAAGAAAACCCUCUAAGCAUCAAGUAAAUGGUGCCCGUACCACAAACCGACACAGGUAGUCGAGGAGAGAAUCCUAAGGUGCUCGAGUGAUCCGUGGCUAAGGAACUAGGCAAAUUAGACCUGUAACUUUGGAAUAAAGGUCUCCCUGAGAGAUCAGGGACGCAGAUAAACGGCCCAGGCGACUGUUUAGCAAAAACACAUGGCUUUGCGAAAUCGAAAGAUGAAGUAUAAGGCCUGACACCUGCCCGGUGCCGGAAGGUUAAGAGGGGAUGUUAUCGCAAGAGAAGCAUUGAAUUGAAGCCCCGGUAAACGGCGGCCGUAACGAUAACGGUCCUAAGGUAGCGAAAUUCCUUGUCGGGUAAGUUCCGACCUGCACGAAUGGUGUAACGAUCUGGGCACUGUCUCAGCCACGAGCUCGGUGAAAUUGUAGUUCCGGUGAAGAUGCCGGAUACCCGCAACGGGACGGAAAGACCCCGUGAACCUUUACUAUAACUUAGCAUUGAUUUUGGGUAAGUGAUGUGUAGGAUAGGUCGGAGACAAUGAAGCGGUUUCGCCAGGAAUCGUGGAGUCAUCCUUGAAAUACGACCCUUUGUUUAUCUGGAACCUAACUCCCUGAAAAGGGAAGACAUUGCUUGGUGGGUAGUUUGACUGGGGUGGUCGCCUCCAAAAGAGUAACGGAGGCUCCUCAAGGUGCCCUCAGCACGAUUGGUAACCGUGCGCAGAGUGUAAUGGCAUAAGGGCGCUUGACUGUGAGACUGACAAGUCGAUCAGGUAGGAAACUAGAGCAUAGUGAUCCGGUGGUUCCGCGUGGAAGGGCCAUCGCUCAAAGGAUAAAAGGUACUCCGGGGAUAACAGGCUGAUCGCCGCCAAGAGCUCAUAUCGACGCGGCGGUUUGGCACCUCGAUGUCGGCUCGUUACAUCCUGGGGCUGGAGAAGGUCCCAAGGGUUCGGCUGUUCGCCGAUUAAAGUGGCACGCGAGCUGGGUUCAGAACGUCGUGAGACAGUUCGGUCCCUAUCUGUUGUGGGCGCAGGAGAUUUGAGAGAACCUGAUACUAGUACGAGAGGACCGUGUUGGACAGACCUCUAGUGUACCUGUUGUGGCGCCAGCUGCAUCGCAGGGUAGCUAUGUCUGGAAGAGAUAAGCACUGAAAGCAUCUAAGUGCGAAGCUCGUCUCAAGAUGAGAUCUCCCUUAAGGGUCGUUGAAGACUACGACGUUGAUAGGCUGCAGGUGUAAAGGCGGUAACGUCAAAGCUGAGCAGUACUAAUUACCCGUGAUCUUUCCGGG
rnacentral:rRNA from 1 species